CAUCUGUGUCUGUAGCGCCACCUUCAGGACAAGGUCUGUAUGAUCUCCUCUGCACCAGCGGCUGUUUCGUCCAUUCUUCUGUUUUCUACUGUUGUUUCCACAUGGAUAUAUGAAUGUCAGUCAGUGAAACGGGCUCCCGGCCUGAAGCUCUGCACCGUUUGGAUCAGCAGUCGAUGUGUGGACAGGAGGAGGAGGUGCAGAUGGAGAUGAUCAGGUGAUGAGAGCUGAAUACAAACCAGACACGCCACUCCUCCCACACCACCCUGAUCCUGUAUCAGCAUGUAGAGAGGCUGCAGGCUGAGUCAGCACUCCUCCACCACCAGAGGAGGGGAGUGUGUCUGUGCUGAUGAAACUUCUCAGUCUGCAGAACAGCCCAACACCCCCACGCUUCAGGGUCCUCAGCCGACAGCAUCGGCCACGUGAGCUCAC